UCAGUCGGCCGGACGGCCGCUCCGGCAGGGGCCGAAAGGCCGCCGGGGAGGAAAGUCCGGGCUCCCUUGACAUGCGGUGCCGGAUAACGUCCGGCGGGGGUAACCCCAGGGAAAGUGCCACAGAGAACGAACCGCCCGCCUUCGCCCCUUCGGGGCUUCGGCGAGGUAAGGGUGAAAAGGUGCGGUAAGAGCGCACCGCGGAUCCGGCAACGGAGCCGGCAUGGUAAACCCCACCGGGAGCAAAACCGAAUAGGGACGGCGUAGCGGGCUGUUCGCGCAAGCGAUAACGCCGCGGGGCGAUGUCAGGCCCGCCGUCCGGGUAGGUUGCUCGAGGCCAUGUGCAAACAUGACCCCAGAGGAAUGGCCGUCACGUACCGUUCGCGCAAGCGGGCGGUGCCCUACAGAACCCGGCUUACAGGCCGGCUGAUAUU
rnacentral:RNase_P_RNA from 1 species